rnacentral:rRNA from 1 species
CCUACGGGAGGCAGCAGUGGGGAAUCUUGCACAAUGGGCGAAAGCCUGAUGCAGCAACGCCGCGUGAGCGAAGAAGGCCUUUGGGUCGUAAAGCUCUGUCUGAAGGGAAGAAGGAAGUGACGGUACCUUAGGAGGAAGCCUCGGCUAACUACGGGCCAGCAGGCGCGGUAAUCCGGAGGGGGCAAGCGUUAUCCGGAAGUAUUGGGCGUAAAGAGUACGUAGGCGGUUCAUUAAGCGCAGGGUUAAAGGGGAUAGCUUAACUACCGUUCGCCCUGUGAACUGGGGGACUUGAGUAUCGGAGAGGAAAGAGGAAUUCCUAGUGUAGCGGUGAAAUGCGUAGAUAUUAGGAAGAACACCAGUGGCGAAGGCAGCUUUCUGGACGAAAACUGACGCUGAGGUACGAAAGCGUGGGGAGCAAACAGGAUUAGAUACCCUUGUAGUC